CCUACGGGAGGCAGCAGUGGGGAAUAUUGGGCAAUGGGCGCAAGCCUGACCCAGCAACGCCGCGUGAAGGAAGAAGGCUUUCGGGUUGUAAACUUCUGUUCUAAGGGACGAAGAAAUUUACGAUACCUAAGGAAUAAGCCACGGCUAACUACGUGCCAGCAGCCGCGGUACUACGUAGGUGGCAAGCGUUAUCCGGAUUUAAUGGGUGUAAAGGGCGUGUAGGCGGGACUUCAAGUCAUAUGGGAAAACCAUGGGCUCAACCUGUGGCCUGCAUUUGAAACUGUAGUUCUAGAGUACUGGAGAGGCAGACGGAAUUCCUAGUGUAGCGGUGAAAUGCGUAGAUAUUAGGAGGAACACCAGUGGCGAAGGCGGUCUGCUGGACAGCAACUGACGCUGAGGCGCGAAAGCGUGGGGAGCAAACAGGAUUAGAUACCCUUGUAGUC
rnacentral:rRNA from 1 species